GGGGACAACACUGCGAAAGUGGUGCUAAUACCGAAAUGUGUAACCGAGAUUGCAUAAUCUUGGUUAGAAAAGGUGGCCUCAUUUAUAAGGCUACCGCUGGAAGAUGGGUCUGCGUCUGAUUAGCUAGUUGGUGAGGUAACGGCUCACCAAGGCGACGAUCAGUAGCCGGUCUGAGAGGAUGAACGGCCACACUGGGACUGGGACACGGCCCAGACUCCUACGGGAGGCAGCAGUGGGGAAUCUUCCGCAAUGGACGAAAGUCUGACGGAGCAACGCCGCGUGAGUGAAGAAGGUUUUUUCCGGAUCGUAAAGCUCUGUCUUUUGGGACGAAUGUGCUUCUUGUGAAUAAUGAGAGGUAAUGACGGUACCGAAGAAGGAAGCCACGGCUAACUACGUGCCAGCAGCUGC
rnacentral:rRNA from 1 species